AUUGAACGCUGGCGGCAGGCCUAACACAUGCAAGUCGAGCGAGCGGCGGACGGGUGAGUAAUGUAUGGGGACUGCCCGAUAGAGGGGGAUAACUACUGGAAACGGUGGCUAAUACCGCAUACUAUCGGAUAACCCAUAUGGGAUUAGCUAGUAGGAGGGGUAAAGGCUAACCUAGGCGACGAUCUCUAGCUGGUCUGAGAGGAUGAUUAGCCACACUGUGACGGAGACACGGCCCAGAAUCCUACGGAAGCAGCAGUGGGAAAUAUUGCACAAUGAGCGCAAGCCUGAUGCAGCCAUGCCGCGGGUAUGAAAAAGGCCUUAGGGUUGUAAAGUACUUUCGACGGGGAGGCGUUACCCGCAGAAGAAGCACCGGCUAACACCGUGCCAGCAGCCGCGGUAAUUC
rnacentral:rRNA from 1 species